AUGAAUCCUUAAUUUAUCUAAAAGUAAGAUAUAUAAAUAUCAGUGAAUUAGGUUAUAAACCCCAAGUUUGAAAUUUUCAUCUCUUCCUUCAACGCAAAAACACACACAUCAAUCAUCAUGUCUUCACUCCUCUUCCUCUCAUCAUCAUUAGUAUCUCACUUUCAUUAUCACCACUGCAUCUUUUACAUCCCACCAACCGCACCAAACCCAUCAUUCUCUAACCUAAUAGAAACCAAAACAAGAUCAAUAAACAAGAAGAAGGAAUCAAUAGAGAAAGGUUAGAAGACUUAGAAGAUGUCUUCUCUGAAGAAGAAGAAACCCUACCUUGAUUCAGUUCAAGGCUCAUCUUCUUCUUUAUAGCUUCUCAUCUCGGGGAAUUGAAGCUUUAUGGUCCGAAUCUAAUUGUUUGUUAGAUCAAGCAAAUUUACCUAUAUACUAUAGUCUAUAAUUCUAUUAUAUCAUCCUGCACCUUUCUCUAUAUAUAUAUGGGUUAUUUUUCAUCUUUCUCAGCUUUGGUUUGAUUAAAUUAAGUGAUUAAAAAUUAUAUAUGGACUUGAUAUUCUAUACAUAUAGAUAGAGUGG
rnacentral:lncRNA from 1 species